CAGGCCCCUGAAGGCAUUUAUAGGGUUGCUGUUGUGUCACAAGUGCGUCGGUAGGUAGCACAGAAAAGAGAGGCGAUGUUCAUGCUUGGCGUUCUGACCUGUGAACUAAUCUGAAUGAUCAGUAGCCUAACAUU
rnacentral:snoRNA from 1 species